CCUACGGGUGACAGCAGUGAGGAAUAUUGGUCAAUGGACGAGAGUCUGAACCAGCCAAGUAGCGUGAAGGAUGACUGCCCUAUGGGUUGUAAACUUCUUUUAUAAAGGUAUAAAACGAGGCACGUGUGCCUUUUUGCAUUUACUUUAUGAAUAAGGAUCGUCUAACUCAGUGCCAGCAGCCGCGGUAAUAUGGAGGAUCCGAGCGUUAUCCGGAUUUAUUUGGUUUAAAGGGAGCGUAGAUGGGGUGGUAAGUCCGUUGUGAAAGUUUGCGGCUCAACCGUAAAAUUGCAAUUGAUACUGGCAGUCUUGAGUACAGUUGAGGUAGGGGGAAUUCGUGGUGUAGCGGUGAAAUGCUUAGAUAGCACGAAGAACCCCGAUUGCGAAGGCAGCUUACUAAACUGUGACUGACAUUGAUGCUCGAAAGUGUGGGUAUCAAACAGGAUUAGAGACCCCUGUAGGC
rnacentral:rRNA from 1 species